GAUGAACGCUGGCGGCGUGCCUAAUACAUGCAAGUCGAGCGAACGGACGAGAAGCUUGCUUUUCUGAUGUUAGCGGCGGACGGGUGAGUAACACGUGGAUAACCUACCUAUAAGACUGGGAUAACUUCGGGAAACCGGAGCUAAUACCGGAUAAUAUUUUGAACCGCAUGGUUCAAAAGUGAAAGACGGUCUUGCUGUCACUUAUAGAUGGAUCCGCGCUGCAUUAGCUAGUUGGUAAGGUAACGGCUUACCAAGGCAACGAUGCGUAGCCGACCUGAGAGGGUGAUCGGCCACACUGGAACUGAGACACGGUCCAGACUCCUACGGGAGGCAGCAGUAGGGAAUCUUCCGCAAUGGGCGAAAGCCUGACGGAGCAACGCCGCGUGAGUGAUGAAGGUCUUCGGAUCGUAAAACUCUGUUAUUAGGGAAGAACAGAUGUGUAAGUAACUGUGCACAUCGUGACGGUACCUAGUCAGAAAGCCACGGCUAACUACGUG
rnacentral:rRNA from 1 species